AAUACAUGCAAGUCGAACGAGCUGCGCCUAAUGAUAGUUGAUGCUUGCAUUAACUUGACUUAAGUUAGCAGCGAGUGGCGAACUGGUGAGUAACACGUGGAUAACCUGCCCAGAAGAAGGGGAUAACACCUGGAAACAGAUGCUAAUACCGUAUAACAACGAAAACCACAUGGUUUUCGUUUGAAAGAUGGCCUUUGUGCUAUCGCUUUUGGAUGGAUCCGCGGCGCAUUAGCUAGUUGGUGAGAUAAAGGCUCACCAAGGCAAUGAUGCGUAGCCGACCUGAGAGGGUAAUCGGCCACAUUGGGACUGAGACACGGCCCAGACUCCUACGGGAGGCAGCAGUAGGGAAUCUUCCACAAUGGACGAAAGUCUGAUGGAGCAAUGCCGCGUGAGUGAAGAAGGGUUUCGGCUCGUAAAACUCUGUUGUUAGAGAAGAACGGGCGUGAGAGUAACUGCUCACGUCGCGACGGUAUCUAACCAGAAAGUCACGGCUAACUACGUGCCAGCAGCCGCGGUAAUACGUAGGUGGCAAGCGUUGUCCGGAUUUAUUGGGCGUAAAGCGAGCGCAGGCGGUCUUCUAAGUCUGAUGUGAAAGCCUUCGGCUUAACCGGAGAAGUGCAUCGGAAACUGGGAAACUUGAGUGCAGAAGAGGACAGUGGAACUCCAUGUGUAGCGGUGAAAUGCGUAGAUAUAUGGAGGAACACCAGUGGCGAAGGCGGCUGUCUAGUCUGUAACUGACGCUGAGGCUCGAAAGCAU
rnacentral:rRNA from 1 species